GAUGAACGCUGGCGGCGUGCUUAACACAUGCAAGUCGAACGGUCAUUUCGGUGACAGUGGCGCACGGGUGAGUAACACGUAGCUAACCUGCCUUCGAGUUUGGAAUAACGUCCCGAAAGGGAUGCUUAUACCGAAUAAGCUCCCGGUGAGUAGGUAACUGGGAGAAAAGGGGAAACUCGCUUGAAGAGGGGGCUGCGGACCAUCAGGUAGUUGGUGGGGUAACGGCCUACCAAGCCAACGACGGAUAGGGGGCCUGAGAGGAUGUCCCCCACACUGGAACUGAAACACGGUCCAGACGCCUACGGGUGGCAGCAGUGAGGAAUAUUGGACAAUGGGCGAAAGCCCGAUCCAGCAACGCCGCGUGGAGGAUGAAGGCCUUCGGGUCGUAAACUUCUUUAGAGGGAGACGAGAAAGGACGGUAUCCCUAGAAUAAGCGACGGCAAACUAACGUGCCAGCAGCCGCGGUAAU
rnacentral:rRNA from 1 species